CCCAGCUAUGAACAACGCACGCGAAUUCCAAUCUCGGAAAGAAUAUCAACAACCAACUUGUUUAACCUUUGGAACAAACCUUGUGAGAUUUCCCACAGAUUCUUGCUGCACGCCAUACAGUGAGCUUUCAGAAUAUUGAAGACUUCGAAACACACCAGAUCAGAUCUAACGAUAGUUGAUUAAACGAUGCCAUCCGUAUUCGCUGUCACUGCGAUGGCAGCUGUGGGGAUUAUAGGUGCCUUAAUGAAAUUUGCGUGGAGUGACGAUGAGCCUGCGAAAAAAGGAGGAAGUGAAAGUCACAGACGAAGCGAUGCAGGUAUAAAAAGUUGAACGUAGAAGAACAUUUUAAGAGCAAAUCCUUGCAAAAAAUCAAACAUCAA